rnacentral:lncRNA from 1 species
GGAACUCCCUCCUCCGGCCACCAAAGUCGACGCCGCCACCGCCAAAAGGAAGCUCUCGCCGAGAGGAGUCGAUCACCACCAGAAUUAGCAGCUAUCGUCAUUGGAAAUGCACGCAUGGCGGCAAGGAAGUUUUGGCUGCCUUUCUCCUCGCGCGUGCUAUUGCUGUCGCCGCUACCGCUGCACUCGCCGACGCCAGCCGCUUCAUCAGCCAACUCCGCACCUCGGUGGUCGGCCACCA